GCUCCCAGGGCUUCAGCCUCAACUAAAAGUUUCCUUUCUCCUUUGGCAGAUUCCAGCUGAAGCCUCCAAGCAUUUGUGCAGAAAACAUUAAUCAGUGAGUAAAUGAACAACUAACCGUCUCUGCUUCCCAAAACACAGAUCGCCUGCAAGCACAGGAUGGCAGGUCUCCAUGCUUCCGUGGGCAUUUUGAUCUUGUCAACGAGGCCCAGAAGUUCCCACCCAUAGACAGAUCGUUGUUGGACAGGGAAGCUCUGAUUCCCAGCCCUGGAAGUAGACUCAGAUCUGAGUUUCGGACCUCGAAGCGAUGGAUCUUCAGGCUGGGGAGGAAAGCAGAUGUCAAACCCAUUAAAACAAAACAAACAAACAAACAAACAGGGGCAUGGGGCGGAGGUUGUAGCUCAGUGCUGGUAUGCUUGUCUUGCACUUAUGAGGCCCUGGGUUCAAUCCUCAGCC
rnacentral:lncRNA from 1 species